rnacentral:tRNA from 1 species
UGGGUUGUGGGCUCAUCGGUAGAGUGCUCGACUAGCACAUGUGAGACCCUGGGUUCGAUUCUCAGCACCACAU